UCAAUUUUUCGUGUAGAGAUUUUGUUUUUAAUUCGCGCCAUUUUUGAAAAUAAAUAAACAACUGCGGUAAUUUUUCUCUGCAGGCAAGAGGACCUAUUUAGGAUGGUGCCCUUCCACGGCUCCGGCUACAAGCAAUUGCUUGUGCUAAUGGGAAAAUCACCACCCGAUCGGCGGAAAUUGCAGUGGAAAACAAGACGUCGGAAAGGUGCUGUGACCCUCAAUACACGAGGAGUAGGAUCACCGGAAAAUGAUCCGCAACAAGCGGUUGAUAUCGCGGAGUCUGGGAGGAUCUGUCCUGGCGAAUUUGGUGUAUGAUAAGCAGCUUCCGGACCAUCAUGACGUCCACGAAUUUUGGCAUAACGCUAAACUCGCAGCAGGUCGGUUGGAGCUGCUCUCAAAGCCAAUCGGGAAACCAUCAGCUACCCGAGACUGUCGUCAUGAACGAGCUUAAGCCUCGGGAGUUGGCCUAAAAAAAAAGCUACCGCAGGCGUAGCCCGGAUUCCGAUCGAGGUGCAGGCUUUUCUGAAAUUGUGAAAAGAAGUUUUUAAGUGAAUAUUGUGAAAAUUUGUUAAAGGAAAAAUAAUGUGAAAAUGAAAGUGCUUUACAACAUUAAUAAAAUG